CCCUUAGAUGUUCUGGGCGGCCCGCGCACUACAAUGGCGUGUGCAGCGAGUGCCGAAGUAGAGUUUUCCGAGGUAUUCUUGCAAUGCUCGUUUUGAUGGGGAUAGACCCUUGCAACUGUUGGUUUUGAGCGAGGAAUUCCUUGUAAGCAUGGUUUAUCAUCCGACGCUGAAUGCGUCCCUGCCCUUUGUACACACCGCCCGUCGCUCCUACCGAUGAGUCGUCCGGUGAAGUUCGUAGACCUCGUGAUCGCGGAUCACUGGGGGAAGCAAAAUGAACCUCGCGGUUUAGAGGAAGGAGAAGUCGUAACA
rnacentral:rRNA from 1 species